rnacentral:tRNA from 1 species
AUUUAAAUAAUUUAAUUAAAAUAUUGAUUUGUGGAGUCAAAAAUAUAAUAAAAUAUUAUUUUAAAUA